GGAUCAGCAGGUCGGUCGUGCCAAUGGUAUGCACUGGCCUUGCUGAUUCCUCCCUCUUGAUGAGCCGUAAUGCCAUUAAUUUGGUGUUGCGGGGAAUCAGGACUGUUACUUUGAAAAAAUUAGAGUGUUUAAAGCAGGCAUAAGCUUGAAUACGUUAGCAUGGAAUAAUAGAAUAGGACU
rnacentral:rRNA from 1 species